GCUUCGUUGCUUCUGGAUUGCUGAGCUUUCGAGGUAUCUGGAAAUCUCUUGGCCGUAUCUGAGGAGGCGGAGGAGGACGAGGAGGAGGAGGUGGUGGUGGAGGUGGGGUAUAGAGUGGCGGAGGUGGAGGUGGAUGUGGCGUAUGGAGUGGAGGAGGAGACCUCCGUGGUGACACUCGUGUGCUGAGAGGUGACUUAUCCUGAGUAAUCGCCUGAAACGCCGCUCUAUUCGGCGGAGGAGGAGGCUGAGAGAACUUAGGCUUGUUCUGUGGAUA
rnacentral:lncRNA from 1 species